CUUUGUAGAACAUGUAUGUGCACAUGUACAUGUGCAUAUAUGCACACAUAUAAUAUACACAUACACAAAAUACCUUGCUCAAAAGGUCACA
rnacentral:miRNA from 12 species